AGAGUUUGAUCAUGGCUCAGAUUGAACGCUGGCGGCAGGCCUAACACAUGCAAGUCGAGCGGUAGCACAGAGAGCUUGCUCUCGGGUGACGAGCGGCGGACGGGUGAGUAAUGUCUGGGAAACUGCCUGAUGGAGGGGGAUAACUACUGGAAACGGUAGCUAAUACCGCAUAACGUCGCAAGACCAAAGAGGGGGACCUUCGGGCCUCUUGCCAUCAGAUGUGCCCAGAUGGGAUUAGCUAGUAGGUGGGGUAACGGCUCACCUAGGCGACGAUCCCUAGCUGGUCUGAGAGGAUGACCAGCCACACUGGAACUGAGACACGGUCCAGACUCCUACGGGAGGCAGCAGUGGGGAAUAUUGCACAAUGGGCGCAAGCCUGAUGCAGCCAUGCCGCGUGUGUGAAGAAGGCCUUCGGGUUGUAAAGCACUUUCAGCGGGGAGGAAGGCGGUGAGGUUAAUAACCUCAUCGAUUGACGUUACCCGCAGAAGAAGCACCGGCUAACUCCGUGCCAGCAGCCGCGGUAAUACGGAGGGUGCAAGCGUUAAUCGGAAUUACUGGGCGUAAAGCGCACGCAGGCGGUCUGUCAAGUCGGAUGUGAAAUCCCCGGGCUCAACCUGGGAACUGCAUUCGAAACUGGCAGGCUAGAGUCUUGUAGAGGGGGGUAGAAUUCCAGGUGUAGCGGUGAAAUGCGUAGAGAUCUGGAGGAAUACCGGUGGCGAAGGCGGCCCCCUGGACAAAGACUGACGCUCAGGUGCGAAAGCGUGGGGAGCAAACAGGAUUAGAUACCCUGGUAGUCCACGCCGUAAACGAUGUCGACUUGGAGGUUGUGCCCUUGAGGCGUGGCUUCCGGAGCUAACGCGUUAAAUCGACCGCCUGGGGAGUACGGCCGCAAGGUUAAAACUCAAAUGAAUUGACGGGGGCCCGCACAAGCGGUGGAGCAUGUGGUUUAAUUCGAUGCAACGCGAAGAACCUUACCUGGUCUUGACAUCCACAGAACUUUCCAGAGAUGGAUUGGUGCCUUCGGGAACUGUGAGACAGGUGCUGCAUGGCUGUCGUCAGCUCGUGUUGUGAAAUGUUGGGUUAAGUCCCGCAACGAGCGCAACCCUUAUCCUUUGUUGCCAGCGGUUAGGCCGGGAACUCAAAGGAGACUGCCAGUGAUAAACUGGAGGAAGGUGGGGAUGACGUCAAGUCAUCAUGGCCCUUACGACCAGGGCUACACACGUGCUACAAUGGCAUAUACAAAGAGAAGCGACCUCGCGAGAGCAAGCGGACCUCAUAAAGUAUGUCGUAGUCCGGAUUGGAGUCUGCAACUCGACUCCAUGAAGUCGGAAUCGCUAGUAAUCGUGGAUCAGAAUGCCACGGUGAAUACGUUCCCGGGCCUUGUACACACCGCCCGUCACACCAUGGGAGUGGGUUGCAAAAGAAGUAGGUAGCUUAACCUUCGGGAGGGCGCUUACCACUUUGUGAUUCAUGACUGGGGUGAAGUCGUAACAAGGUAACCGUAGGGGAACCUGCGGUUG
rnacentral:rRNA from 1 species